GGUUAAGCGACUAAGCGUACACGGUGGAUGCCCUGGCAGUCAGAGGCGAUGAAGGGCGUGCUAAUCUGCGAUAAGCGCCGGUAAGGUGAUAUGAACCGUUAUAACCGGCGAUACCCGAAUGGGGAAACCCAGUGUGACUCGUCACACUAUCAUUAACUGAAUCCAUAGGUUAAUGAGGCGAACCGGGGGAACUGAAACAUCUAAGUACCCCGAGGAAAAGAAAUCAACCGAGAUUCCCCCAGUAGCGGCGAGCGAACGGGGAGAAGCCCAGAGCCUGAAUCAGCAUGUGUGUUAGUGGAAGCGUCUGGAAAGGCGUGCGAUACAGGGUGACAGCCCCGUACACAAAAGCGCAUGUGCUGUGAGCUCGAUGAGUAGGGCGGGACACGUGGUAUCCUGUCUGAAUAUGGGGGGACCAUCCUCCAAGGCUAAAUACUCCUGACUGACCGAUAGUGAACCAGUACCGUGAGGGAAAGGCGAAAAGAACCCCGGCGAGGGGAGUGAAAAAGAACCUGAAACCGUGUACGUACAAGCAGUGGGAGCCCCACCACCAAAGCAUUCUCUGGUGUUGAAGGCCCUGCAAAGCAGCAUCGCGGUGGCGGAGCGUCGUUUGCGACGCCCAACACACAAAACAAGCGGUGAGUGCUUUGGGGUGGGGUGACUGCGUACCUUUUGUAUAAUGGGUCAGCGACUUAUAUUCUGUAGCA
rnacentral:rRNA from 1 species